GUUCUCGUGGUGUAGUGGUUAUCAUACUCUCUUAGGGUGAUCAACAUCUUGAGCUUUGCCUCCAACGAUCUCUGGUUCGCCAGUGCAUCGAGCUUGGGAGUGGCCCCGGGUUCAAAUCCCGGCGAGGACC